AAGUCGUAACAAGGUAACCGUAGGUGAACCUGCGGUUGGAUCAUUAGAAAAAUUCGACGUUCAGCUAGUGUGGUUGAAAAACUACCUAGCCGGCCUUCAUGGAUUUAGCUUUUAACGCAUUGUUUGUUAGCCUGGGUUUCCUUUUUGGAUCAACCCGGGAGUCAUCAUAUCGCUUUGUGUUAUAAAUGCUUUUCCAUGGUCGCGUCAAACUCCUAUGUGCAACGUUUGGGUUUUGGUUGGAAGCGCGAGGUGUAACAACCUCACACACGGAAAACCAACUCCCAAUCCACUUAUUUUUACUUUGUCUAACUUAAUUUAAUAUAUAAUAUUAAAACAACUUUUGGCAACGGAUCUCUUGGCUCUC
rnacentral:misc_RNA from 1 species